GACUAGGGCUAAGGAAGGUCAGGGGUUGUUAGCAAUUUGGACGGCACAUGUUGGGAUUUGUUAGAUUAUUGCACCCUUAGACGGAAAAUGUUCUCUUAUUACAUUGGAAAAUUUGGGUGCCUCACUUAAUUUGAGGAGUACGAGUAUCUACCAAACGGUACAAGCCAAAAUAUGAAGAUGCCUAAUGAAGGUGACAAUGCGAUUACCAAAUGCAUCAAAUGGUCUCGAGAAAGAUACAACACCUCAUAAGGAGAAUGGGGAAGAUUUGCCCACGGUGCCAGCAACUACUGCAAAUUUUUAUAUUAGCCUAAAGCCAUAGAAUAUAAUCUUUUACUCAAUUGAUAUACAAAUUUAUAGUUGUGAGAAGGAGUAAGAGUUGCUUGGACUGCGA